UACGUAGGGUGCGAGCGUUGCCCGGACUUAUUGGGCGUAAAGAGCUCGUAGGCGGUUUGUCGCGUCGGCCGUGAAAUCUCCACGCUUAACGUGGAGCGUGCGGUCGAUACGGGCAGACUUGAGUUCGGUAGGGGAGACUGGAAUUCCUGGUGUAGCGGUGAAAUGCGCAGAUAUCAGGAGGAACACCGGUGGCGAAGGCGGGUCUCUGGGCCGAUACUGACGCUGAGGAGCGAAAGCGUGGGGAGCGAACAGG
rnacentral:rRNA from 1 species